GACGAACGCUGGCGGCGUGCUUAACACAUGCAAGUCGAACGGAAAGGCCCUUCGGGGUACUCGAGUGGCGAACGGGUGAGUAACACGUGGGUGAUCUGCCCUGCACUUUGGGAUAAGCCUGGGAAACUGGGUCUAAUACCGAAUAGGACCACGCGCUUCAUGGUGUGUGGUGGAAAGCUUUUGCGGUGUGGGAUGGGCCCGCGGCCUAUCAGCUUGUUGGUGGGGUAAUGGCCUACCAAGGCGACGACGGGUAGCCGGCCUGAGAGGGUGACCGGCCACACUGGGACUGAGAUACGGCCCAGACUCCUACGGGAGGCAGCAGUGGGGAAUAUUGCACAAUGGGCGCAAGCCUGAUGCAGCGACGCCGCGUGAGGGAUGACGGCCUUCGGGUUGUAAACCUCUUUCGAUAGGGACGAAGCGCAAGUGACGGUACCUAUAGAAGAAGCACCGGCCAACUACGUG
rnacentral:rRNA from 1 species